UACUAGCCCAGAUAGCAGUGGAAAUCCUUUAUUGUUUUCCUUUAAAACAAUAAAGAUUGAAACGGAUAGCUGGAACUUGC
rnacentral:sRNA from 1 species